rnacentral:lncRNA from 1 species
GAUUUUGUUAGUGAUGAUCACUGAUUCAUUCAUUUCGAUUGUGUUAUGUUUUUUCCUAGGUUUGUAUUUGUAUAUUUUCUUUAUCAGAAAAACAAAAAUUCGUAUCUUUGGCUUUUAUGUUAAAACUCAUUUUAUUUUAAAAUUAAUAUUACCACUACAUCUAUUGGAAACAUGAAAAUAUCAUAUUUCAUUGUAAACCAAACACACGGCAAAAAAAAAAA